rnacentral:rRNA from 1 species
UACAGAGGGGGCAAGCGUUGUUCGGAAUUACUGGGCGUAAAGGGCGCGUAGGCGGCCUUCUAAGUCGGACGUGAAAUCCCCGGGCUCAACCCGGGAACUGCGUCCGAUACUGGAAGGCUUGAGUCCGGGAGAGGGAUGCGGAAUUCCAGGUGUAGCGGUGAAAUGCGUAGAUAUCUGGAGGAACACCGGUGGCGAAGGCGGCAUCCUGGACCGGCAUUGACGCUGAGGCGCGAAAGCCAGGGGAGCGAACGGG